CUGGUCUUAAGCUCCUGGGCUCAAGUGAUUCACCUGCCUCAGCCUCCCAAAGUGUUGGGAUUACAGAUGUGAACCACUAUGCCCAGCCAUGCUAAUCUUUUUAUCAUUGAAUUGUCCAUCUUAUAUUUGAACUAAUAAUCAGUUGUAAGUCUGUCUCUUACAUAUUGUUAGCUGCUAAUUCACUUAUUAAGCACUCUUUCUAUUUUUGGCCUGGUGGUAGGUGCUUGGGACACAGUGGUGAGUUAGAGAGAUAUAAUUGCUGAUUUCUUGAAGCAUAUGGUCUAGUCUCCCCACUAGAUAAACAGGCAAUUACUGUACAUGCUGUAAUGCGGGAAGUAAAGAAGGGUUUAGGAACAUACAGGACAGAAGCCUGGAAUGUGUGGGUGCCACUGAAGACCUCAUGAGAGCAAAGUGAUGAAGGGGUAGGAUGUGGUGUAGGGAGGAGUUAAAACCAGGGAACUGUGGGCUUUGUGGCUCUGGAUUAAGAGAAAACGGCACAUUUGAGGAAAAGAAGAAAAUUCAACAUCAUUGUAAAGGGUCUUAUAAACUAUGAUCAGAGCUGUGUUGGGAAAAAUCACUGAUUGAUUUUCAAUCCUGCUGCAGAACAGAACCAUUGUAUGGUGCUUUUAAUAGUAGAGAGACCUGGGCCCCACUCCAAGCCUGUUUAAUUACUAUGACCAGAGCAUGUGGCUCGGAGAUACACACACACACACACACACACACAUAUACACACACACACUAUAUAUAUAUAUAUGUAUGUGUAUGUAUGUAUUUAAGGCUCCGUAGGUGAUUCUGGUGUGUGACCAGGGUUGAGAGCUGUAGGGCUAUGUGGAGAGCAAGAACUAGAGUAGAGGAGCAAGACUGGAGGCAGGGACACCAGAGAGACAAAGAGUAAUCCAGGUGGUGAUUAUGGAAGUUCAACCCAGAGUAGUUCAAGUGGGACUGGAGAAAGCAUGUAUAGAUUAAGAGAUAUUAGGAGUUAGAACACAUAGCACUUAAGGUUGAUUGAAUGUAGGGGCCUGGAGGGGCGCAGUUCAAGAAAGGCUCCCAGUUUCUGGCACAACCACAGAGUGGAAGGUUGAGCUUGUCACUGAUCUAGGAAAUGUUAGAGGAGGAGCAGUUAUUUAAUGAGAAAGGUAAGGUUUUUAGGUUUUAGGUGAGUUUGAGAUGCUCAUGGAACCUCCAAAUAGCAUUGUCCAUUAGUUUAUUGACUAUAAGAGUCUGGAUUCAGGAGAUGUAUCUAGCCCGGGGAACUAUAGGUCCGCACCGUCCAUCUUACUUACACUGGAGCCCAUGAAAAUAAAUGAAAUUGACCAGGGAACAGGUGAAAAGUAAAAAGAGAACUGUAAAGAAUAGCAUUUAAGGGAUGAAUAGAAAGAGGAACCUGAGGAGAAACUGAGAUAGGGAAGUCAGAAACGUGGACAAUUAAGUGGGAGAACUCCUAGUUGUUAAAUGUUGAAGACAACUAAUAGUAUCAGAAGCUAAGGCAAGAGGAGUUUUCAAGAAGGAAGGGAGGAACACAAUUGUCAGAUGCUGCCAGGAAGGUAAAUAAGGAACUGAAAAGUGACUGCUGAAUAUGGCUGAAAAGGUUGUUAGAGAUCUAGGCUGGAGUCAUUUCAGUGGAAUAGUGGGGCAGAAGCCAGACUGCAGGGGGCUGAACAGUGAGUAGGAGGUGAGAGGGGUUAGACAGGGAGGGGUCCUUCAUAUUACAUCCUACUUUCUUGGCCAUCACAGAAUCCUCAACAGUCAAUAAACUUUGAAUAAGUGAAAGUGUGGGUAUUGGAAGAGUAAGGAUUAAGUUGAUGCAACAUUUUUAGCCUGACUGGUUGGGCACAUGGCAGUGGCAUUUGCUGAGAUUUGAAGCAAAGCCAGAAGAAAGGGCUGAGCUUGGUUUUGUGUGUUAGAUAUGCAAAGGAGAAGAUGCUAAGUGUAGUUGUAGAUAUACUAACUUUGGUGCUCUUUUUCUGAUUAUUCUGUAAGUAUAGCAUUGUCUUCAAAGUCACUCCAAAUACUACCAAGUAUUACUUGGUGUUGAUCAGAAGUAGGAUUUCCCCUCAACUUUGUAUGCUUGAAAAUGUCAUAGAACUUGAAAAAAAGAGGAAAUAUAGGAAUUUAAGAAAAAAGUCUGAACAGCAUCAUUUUGGGAUAUAAGUGAAGCAGAACUAAUAGAAAGGGGAACACAUCCUCUUUGCCUGAGGAAGUUGGACUAGUUCUACCUCUGUUAUGGCAUUUAAAAAUUGUAUAUUUAAUUUUUCAGUGUAUUUAACUUCUCUUUGUCCUCUUGAAGUUGGGAACAUUCAGUGGUACUCUGAACCAGUGGAUAAUUGUGACCUGGCGCUGUGCCUCUUGGGCCAGCUUUUGUUUCCUUAAUGAAUGCACUUCCUUCAUCUGUUAGUGAUAAGCAGGCAAGUGAGGAAUUCUUAUCUGCAUCUAUGGAUUGAACAUCUGUUUCUAUUCCACUGUGUUUCAGUUUUAACUUCUUUGCUUAGAAAUUAAUGUGAGCAAGUGAGCCUCCUCUUUUGUAAAGUCAUUUUGGAUUGAGAGUAUUUGUUAUCUGAGCAUUUUAUAUGCAUUAAAUUGAUAAUUUAGAAUUUUUUCUAAUAUUUUGAGUGAUGCAGAAAUCAUCAUCAUGGGGUCUCUUAAAUGUCUGUGACAGUGGGUUUAUUAAAAAAAUGUAAUUUUGUGCAUGGAGAUUAUUGGAGGGAUACCAAAUUUAUCCUAUGGGUGUUCAAUUUUGUCAGAGAGUUAUGAUACAUUUUAUUCUGCAUAUUAAAAAUGUUCAAGAAAGGAAAGCAAAAAAUCACCAUGGCAACUCAGUAGAAUACCAUUAUUUUGUUUUUCUGAAAGGAAAAUUCUAAAUCUGAGUAAUGAGGUAUGAGAAAAGAGCAGUGCAGAUUGUGUCUCUGGCUUCCAGGAAGUGAGCUCAUAAAAGAAUGGAUUUGAUGCCCUGGGUGACUCAGUGUUAUUUAGGGCCCCAUUUCUUUUUUCUCAUAAGGAAGAGCUAUAAAAAGGUGGCAUAUAUAUUAACACUACUAAAACAGAUCUACCAAAGAGCCUGUUGAAUUUUUCUUUAUUAUGCAACUUUUUGGAGCCAACUGUAAGUGUCAAGGCUGAGAAUGAAUGGAGAGCUGCAGGGGUUGGUGGGGGAAGGUUCUUAAGAUGUCAUCACACCACUUUUGACACUUCAACACUGAAAGAGUGCUACUAGGAUGAGUUUGAUUAGAAUGAUUCUGGCAGAGUGUCAAAAAAGAAACAGUACAUAGUCAAUGAAUUGAUACAUUGAUCAGUAGUAAAAAGUAGAAUCAAGCCAUGUACCAUUUUUGUAGAGAGACUAGUGGGCAGAUCAGUUGUCAACACGGCAUCCAGUUGUAGCACCAAACUGGUCAUCUAGAACUCAGUGUCUGACCUGUAAAUCGUUGCUAUUUCAGGGCUUCUGUUACCCCUCUUGGGGAAGCACCAAAGGACCUACAGGAACAUCAGUAUUCCGUAGAGGAGGGAUGAAGUGCUCAGGCAUAGACCUGACUAACAAGGCUGGAAGUAGCUUGGGAAAGUUACUUAACCUCUCCAAACAUCAGUUUUCUUAUCUAUGAAAUGGUUAUGGUUAUAAUACCUAUCUGAUAGGGUUGUUUUCAGGAAUACAUGAGUUAAUAUAUGUAAAACAUUAAAAGAAAUGCCUGAAACAUAGUAAGCACCAAUUAUUAGCUCUAAUUAUUGAAGAAUCUACAAGUGAUGCUUUUUUUGGCUGUGACUUUUCUAAAUUGGAUAUGUUUAUGAAAUGGACAGGCAAACAAUUACUUUUUGUUGUUGUUCUUUGGUAAUUACUUUGUAAUAAGUUAAAAUGGGAUGGAUAUAAAUGGGGAGGGGAUAUAUUGAAACCCAAUUUUCAGUCACAUGGCAUCAUGUGGGAUACUGAGAGAUAACUGACACAUGGAACAUUCUGGUCUGUAGCAUUUAGGGAAAAUACGGAUAUUUAGCAAAGACGUAUCUAAGGGACAGCCUAGGUAACUUAUCAGUUCAAGAGUGAGGUUUCUGAUGUGCAUGACAUCCAGGGGUGAGAUUUCUGCUGUUAUAUGGUAGGAAAAGGAAUUGCAUGCUAUUUUCUUUAAUUGUUUUUAGCCAAAGUAACUGUUAUAGCUGUAUGCUAUGGUAAAACACUGCAGUUUUUGGUUGUUAGGAAACCGUUGGGUUAUCUGGGCUCUUCUUUUUCCCAAGUUCUGAGGAUGAAGAGCUGGCUAUCAGAAGGUACAAAAAGAAUAAAACAGUUUGUGACUUCUGAGACAAAAAUUGUUAUCCAUGGCAAUAAAAACUCAUGUAUACUGUAUUUUUUAAAGUUAAACAAUAUUUAUUUUCAUUUGUCUUAUUAGAAAUGAUGAAAAUACAGAAAAUGAGGAUGUACAGAUAAUGUACAUGAGAGUGAGAUGUAUGAGAAUGUACAGAUAACAUACAUGAGAACAUACACUGUUCUGUACGUAGAAUGUACAUAGAAUGUAUGUACAUUCAUUCAUAAUACUUUUGCACAGAAAUCUACUUACAUGAACAUUUUCUGGGUACAUACACAUUGAUGUAAAUGGGAUUCAUAUGCUUUCUAUUUUAAAGUACAUUAUAAAUGCAUUUACUUUAUAGUGAAUAUACAUCUCCUAUAUAAUUGAGCAAUUCAUAAAGUAAUCAAAGGAUAGACCAAAAAAAGUAUUGAAUCAUUAUUCUUUAUCAACGUGUAGAUUAUUUCCAAUUUUUAUGAACAUGUUCUUAAAUAACAGGACCGGGCACUUGCCAGCCAGGCAGAACAGUGAGCCUCCUUCAACCUAAAGGGUUAUUUAUUUUAACAGAGCCAAGGCAGCAGCUUCUCUGUGCAUAUGUACCUCUGGGAAGAUUGUUUUCUGAUGAAGGCAUGGUUUCAUUCAGCAUUUGAUGACAGAUCCACACCAGUUUAGUGAAAGAGAUAUAGUCAUGUUCAGUGAAGCACCAAGGAAGGGCAGGUUAUUACCUUGGAAGUCUACAUUUGGCAACUAUUUCACAAAUUUUGUCAGUCAAAACUUGAUAUGAAGAUUCUUAAAAAUUUAACUUGGCCAGGCAUAGUGGCUCAAUGCCUUUAAUCCUAGCACUUUGGGAGGCCGACGCAGGUGGAUCACCUGA